rnacentral:rRNA from 1 species
AACGUAGGUUCCGAGCGUUAUCCGGAUUUACUGGGCGUAAAGCGCGUUCAGGCGGUUUGGCAAGUCGGGCAUGAAAUCUCUCGGCUCAACCGGGAGAGGUUGUCCGAUACUGUUGGACUUGAGGGCAGUAGAGGGUGGUGGAAUUCCGGGUGUAGUGGUGAAAUUCGUAGAUAUCGAGAGGAACACCAAUGGCGAAGGCACCUUACUGGUCGGUUACUGACACUGAGCUGCGAAAGCAAGGGGAGCAAACAGG